rnacentral:rRNA from 1 species
UACGAAGGGGGCUAGCGUUGUUCGGAAUUACUGGGCGUAAAGCGUGCGCAGGCGGCCAUUCAAGUCAGGGGUGAAAGCCCAGAGCUCAACUCUGGAACUGCCCUUGAAACUGUAUGGCUUGAGGAUGAGAGAGGUGAGUGGAAUUCCCAGUGUAGAGGUGAAAUGCGCAGAUAUCGGGAGGAACACCAAUUGCGAAGGCAGCUUGCUGGGACGAUACUGACGCUGAGGCGCGAAAGCGUGGGGAGCAAACAGG